AUUGCUUAACAUAUACUUGUAUUUUACAGAAUUCACCUGAGCUGGAUGAAGAAGGCUACAGCAUCAGACCUGAAGAACCCGGCUAUAUCCUUUCUUUAUUUUUUUUUUUUAAUUUUAAUUUAGAAUCUCAGAAAACAGUAAGCUAAGGUCAGGUUUUACAAAGGUGAUGAAAUAACCUGAGCUACUAUUCCUAAUAUGAGAAAUGAAUAAAUAGCACAGAGAACAGCCUGAUUGCUAACAAGCAGACAUUUUGCCUUGAUCUAUUAAUAGAAAAGAGAGAGAAGCGAAAGAAAUGUGCUAAAAAAAAAAAAAAAAGUCGUGUGAAUUAUGGGUACUGGGUUGUCUGCUAAAAUCUGACAUGGCAAUGCCAUUUAUACUGACUGGAAAAUAGCCCUUACUGUCCUCUCCCCUCCAGUUCAUCUCUGGGCAAAGCAUGUCACACUCUGAAGCACCACCCAAGACUCUUCACAGAUGAUCCAGAAAGAAAGAAGUCUUUCUCUGAGAAUGAGUGAGCUCAUGCAUGCUUGUGUGUGUGCAGAGUGUGACACAACACAUGAGCGAUGACAGCAAAAAUUAGGGUAUGGAUCAGUACUCUUUGAAAUUCAUGAUCUCUGAUCAUAUUCUAAGGAAUGGUAAAGAAAUCCUAACUUUUUAACUCUUUUAUUUUUGUUUGUUUUGCUUUGAUUUCCUGCCAUCUCAGAAUACUUUUGUAGUGACUAUGUGCAAUCACUCUUGUCAUAUUAUACUCAUCAAUGUCUCCCAGUAGAAGAAAGCGCUAAGUAUCUUUAACUGUGUUCUACCUACCAAAGGAAAGCACUUUUAUUCUUCGAGUGAAUCGGAAGAGGAAGAAGAAUCACACAAGAAAUUCAAUAUCAAGAUCAAACCAUUGCAAUCUAAAGACAUUCUUAAGAAUGCGGCAACUGUAGAUGAGCUGAAGGCAUCCAUAGGCAACAUUGCACUUUCCCCAUCACCAGUGGUGAGUGGCUUUUUAUUUCAAGCUUUGGUGAGGUUGGACAGACAGCUGUGUUCUGCCUGUCUGCAUUUAGCCCAUCAUAAACCCCCUACAUUGAGGGCUUCAUGCAGUCACCAUUGUAUGAGGUCUAUAAGCCUCAAACAGAUCAUUCUAGC
rnacentral:lncRNA from 1 species